GAACACAGGUGCUGCAUGGCUGUCGUCAGCUCGUGUCGUGAGAUGUUGGGUUAAGUCCCGCAACGAGCGCAACCCUUGUCAUUAAUUGCCAUCAUUCAGUUGGGCACUUUAAUGAGACUGCCGGUGAUAAACCGGAGGAAGGUGGGGAUGACGUCAAGUCCUCAUGGCCCUUAUGGGUAGGGCUUCACACGUAAUACAAUGGUCGGUACAGAGGGUUGCCAACCCGCGAGGGGGAGCUAAUCUCAGAAAGCCGAUCGUAGUCCGGAUUGUUCUCUGCAACUCGAGAGCAUGAAGUCGGAAUCG
rnacentral:rRNA from 1 species